GAAGGCAGGAUUGACCUGCAAAGAAGUCCAGUUGCUGAAAAGUUUCCAGUGGGGAACCCUCUGAUACUUAAGUUAGUGGAGAUCUAGAGCAAUAGUGAAAAAGAGAGAGAUUAAGUGUGGAAGAGUGCUCUAGAGAAAGAGGGAGCUUAAGAAUGCUUAUUUGAGGGUCUGUCAGUCAUCCCUAUAUAUAGAUUAUAGGCUGAGAGUGGUGUCAGUUACCUAAUUUAUCGGAAAGUGUCAUAAUCGCAUGAUAAUGGCUAAUCGUGCAUUAACCGCAUGAUAACGGCUUUCCACAAUUGACAUGCAAUGAUAAUCGUGUUGAUCGUAUCUUUAUUGGUGUACUGGUGUAAUCGUUACCAAGACCAUGAUUGGAACUCAUUCAAUGACCUUUGGCGUUACUCCUAGACAAGACCAACUAGAAUAGUGCGUAAGCCAAGACCUAUCAUUCACUUCAGUUAAGGCCAAGGUCAAGGAGGUCAAAACAACCCAAGGUUAGGAUGACUGAUAUUCUCACCAUCAUUUCCCCCCCACUUCUGAGUCCGAACUUAAUUUUAGUUCAGGUGAUGGAAGUUGUACCGUCAUUCAAAUUGAGAAUGAAGCAUCUAGAAGGACGUAUUUAUGCAUUGGUUGAUCUUCUCAAAGUGUCAUCAUUUUGGCGUGAAUUUUUGAGCAGUAUUGUGUUUUUUGAAGCUACUUAAAGUGGCAAUCCGGAUGAGUUGCUUGUGGCUUAUUCCGAGCUGAUACGUGGUUGAAUCGGCUCGGAUAGUUGAAUCGUCAGCUUAACCUAGGCCGCAUGUACAUCUAUAAGAGGUUGUCCUACUUUCCUUCUUCAUUCUCUUCUUCUGAAAAGCCUCUACAAGUGCCCCCAGCGGGUUUGAAAGAGGCCAAGGCAAGAAGCCGUGGCAGAGGCCGAGGUGAGAAACCAUGGCCGAGGACAGAAAGUUGAAGUGAAGUCCAAGGUCGAGAUGAGAAGACCGAGGCCGAGGUGAGAAUAUCGAGUCCGAGGUGAAGGCUAAGGCCGAGGAGAAGGUCGAGGCCCAGGUGAAGGCUACGGCAGAGGUGAAGACCGAAACCGAGGUGAAGUUUAAGGCCGAGGUGAGAAGACCGAGGUAGAGGUGAAGUUCAAGGCCAAGGUAAGCAGGCCGACCUGAGAAGGCUCAAGUAAAAAAAGGUCGAGGUAAGAAGGCAGACCUGAGAAGACCGUGGUAAGAAGGCCGACUAGAGGAGGUCGACCAGAAAAAGGCAAUAUUCUUUAUCUUUUCUUUCAUAUUUUCUAUUUUCUAUUGUUAUUCCAAAGAUCUUUCUGAUUUAGGCAUUGGAGGGCCCAGCCGGAGCCAAUUUGGCAAGCCUUUCUCUUCUUUUUGUGUACAAAUCGGCAUCCAUUUGCGGAUUGACUAGCGCCCUCCAAACCUUCUUGGUCGGGCAGGAUUUUGGCAUCAACACCCAUAUAUCUGAAUGCAAGGUUCUUUCUAUUAGAUAAAUGAUGGGCAUACAAACUAAGUAGAUAAUUUGAUUUCCAGCCGUCUAAAUAGGCAACAACUUCCCCAAUUACCAGAUCUAUGACAGAAAUCUUGUAGUUUACAUAAAGCCACAUGAACAGGAGGUUUUUGUGGCGGGUCUUGUCAGUAAUGUAGACUCAUGUAAAUAGGUGCUGCAUGCAUGUGCGUGCAUCUGGGUUAAGCUUGCUCUUUCAGGAUGGGGAGGCUCUAAAUCUAUGCUAAAGCAGAAUACUUCAGCUGCCAAAGUCUCCAUGAUCAACCAACCUCAUGGUCCUCAUCAAAUAUGAGAAACAUGUUCGAGGUAUCAGUCCACAAUCAAACUUUACAUAAAGCAUGAGAAGGGAUAUAUUUGCUAACAUCUAUACAACCUCACAGCAAUGGCAAGCUCUAGGACAAAGUUAACCUCCUAUACGACUAUACUUUUGUGUUAUGCAAAGAAUUUGGUUGUAAAAGUAAAUCAUAAUCAGCUAGUGGGCAAGGAUCCUUGUAACAGAUGCUGCAAAAUGAAUCCCAUAUCACCCCAUCCAGACAUUGUAUGGGAACUUCAUUUUUCUGCCUCUUUCCAGACCUACUUUGCUUUCGAUGAGUAUCCUCUAUAGAAAGGGUCACCUCUAUCUCUGUGUGUGCGCGCGCCAGAGGAAAGAAGAACUGAGACCCUGAGUUUAUUAAUUCUAUUGCCCACAAUCUACAUGUUGCAAGACAUAGCUUCUCUCACUUUAUCCUUGUAUUCUCAAAUAUAUUCUUCUAUCUUCCAAGCACAAAAGAAAGCAACAAUGGUUCCUAUUAGCCAACAAAGAGAGAGGAAUAUAUAUAUUAAAUAAUUAACAGAUACAAAAGAGUAACACCAGUUUUAUUGAAUGAAGAGAUAAAUAUAAUAAAAGAAUGACACAAAAUCAAAACAUAUAUGUCAAGGUUCACAAGAAGUAGGGGGGCUUUCAUGAAAAUGAGGAAGACAAGACAAUAGAAAGCCCGGAACAAUAUAGGACGAAAGUUGAUUGGAGCAAAAAUAAUUAAAUAUAUUGCAAACUUAAAAUCUGUGUGGAGUUGAAAACGCAAUUAAAUAUAUUGUAGUCCCAAAGGCAUAUUUUGCUACAGUGGUUGAUUCAUACAAUAAGAUGGAGAGACAUGAUAUCUGAAUAAGAUAAAGCCAACAUAGAUAAACUAGAAAUGAACUUGUGGAGCAUCAUUGUCACAGGCCACUGAAAUU
rnacentral:lncRNA from 1 species